rnacentral:lncRNA from 1 species
UGAACAUUUCGAAUAAUGGCGGCGGAAAAUGCGAGCGAUGAAUAUAAAUGGACUGAUGUAGACACUGCAGCUCUCAUCAGUUGGAGAUCUACGAAUGAGGGCAUGUUCACGGGCAGGAGGAAUGCGGCGCAGAAGGGGUUCGAAGAAUUUAUUAAGGUCCAGGGGCUAGAGGGGAAGAUGGAGGCCACCAAAAUUAAAAGGAAAUGGGAGAACCUCAAACAAAAAUAUAAGGAGUUGAAAGCACCCAGGACAGGGGUGAGCACUGAGGGAGGAGAGACCACUGCUGCAUCCUGGAAGUGGUAUGGGCCAAUGGAUGAGGCACUAGGCGGGAGGCCAUCAAUAAGUCCUCCCGUACUAGUGGACUCAUCCGCCCAGGAUGUGGCAGUGGUCUCUCCUCCCUCAGUGCACCCGAGUACCCCAAAUCUGGGCAAAAGGAAGAGGGAGUCUGAAUGGCAGGAAAUAUUAAAGGAAAUCCAGGAGAAGGAGGAAGAAAGAGAGCUAAUUCAGAUAGAAAGAGAAGAAAGGCGAGAGAGAGAGGCGAUGGAAAGAGAGGAUCGGAAGGAGAGAGAGCGGCUGCAGCGUGAGGAGAGGAAAGAGAAGGAAAUGCUGGAAAGAGAAGAAAGAAGAGAGAAGGAGAACCAAGAGAGGGAGGACAGGCGGUAUCGGGAGAUGAAAGAGGCAGAAGAAAGACGAGAGAGGGAGAGCAAGGCUAGGGAGGACAAGCUGCUCGAUGUCCUAAAAGUAUUCUUACAAAAGAAAUAAAGGAACAUUUAAAUAAGCAUUUCAUGUCUGCUCUUUCAUAUAAUUUAGAAAAUAAUUUAGUUAUAACAAAUCAUUUUUAUUGAACAAGUUGUGAAUAUAAUUGUUAGUAAGACAGGACAAGGUUAAUAAAACACAAAAGACGGAACAUGGGGCAUACACAGACAAAAGACAACACUAGGAAAAAGCAAAGAACUAUAUACAGGUAUACUAUUUAACUAUUUACAAAUGAGUCUCCAGGGUGCAGACCAUGUUCAGUACACAUGAUCUCUCAGUGCAUCUAUGCAGGCAUUUGGUGCAGAGACAGCAGCAGCCAGUCUGCGCCUGAUGUUGUCCCCUGGUUCCACAGCAUGCUGCAUUUCAUUGUUGUCGGGGAGAUCCUGUGGAAAGUCUCCUGGCUCCACAAAGUCUCCAUUUGAUAGGCACAAGUUGUGGAGGAAGACACAGCAGGACACCACCACUGGGGCAAAGGUUGACUUUACCUAUGUGCAGAGAUGGGCAGUAUUUUAAAUUAGAUGUAUUUAAAAUAUGCAUUUAAUUACUUUUGAGUAUCUUAUUCAACAUAAGACAAAAUAGAAACUAAUCUGUAACAGACAGAUAUUGCAUGCCAAGGAAAGCUACUGAAUAACAGUGAAAUACAAGCAUUUUCUCAUAUUGUCAUUUUAUGCUCAUUUAAAUUUCAUAAGCAUUUGCACAUUGACACACACACUUGUAUGUAUUAUGUUUUCUUUACCUCAAGGGCCUUCAGAAAGAUGGAUCUCCACCUGGUCUUCAUCAUCCUGAAGGCCCUCUCCACAACACACCUUGCCUUUGACAGGUGCUUGUUGUACCUGGCCUGUACGGGGCCCUGUACUGGCUCCCGGAACGGGGUCAUCAGGCAGAUGGGGGUAGCAAGGCAAGGAUAGCCUCCAUCGCCUAUGAUGCACCACCCAGGUGGUGGGUACAGCUGCUGCACAUACACAGAGCUCCACCUGAGCACCCAGGCAUCAUGGACCGAGCCAGGAAGGCCAACAAAAGCAUUGAGGAAGCGCCCUUUAUGGUCACAAAUGGCCUGCAGCUGAAUUGAAUGGAACAACUUUCUAUUAUGAUAAUCCUCCUUGUAUUCCCCAGGAGGCUUUAUUCUAAUGUGCAAAGCUGCAAACUUGUCGCUUUUCGGCGACAAUCGCCGUUUUCUUGCUCAAUUUGGUCAUUCACGUGAAUCGUGUAGAACCGGAGAGUUUUGUUUUGGGGAGGGGGGGGGGGGGUCCAGAAUUGCGAAAAAUUAUCGGAUCAUUCUUAUAAUUGACAUUUAUCUGGGCCAAUCGGAAUCUCAGCACUUGCUUCAGAAUCUUUCUUAUAGUUGUCAUUUCUCUGGGCCAUUCGGAAUCUUGAAGCACACAGCGCCAACUGAGCUCGCCAUUGGAUGAGACGGUCGCCUUGCUACCACGCAUCCGCAUCCACACAUGCGCAUGCUGCAUGCAGCUAAACAACGCAAGAGAGCUUGCGAAACACUCGUCCAGAGGGGUGUUCCACGAACGGAGGUUUAACAAACACUGAGUUAACGCUGAACUCUAGGUUGAUUUACCCUGUGCCGACUAACCCAGAGUUUUCGGUUCCACAGCAGCGGUUAUGCACUAGUUCAAUCAACUCGGGGUUGAUUAACACAGGGUUGUGCGCGUCCACGCCAAACCUAAAAAGACGUGAUGUAUGGAUCAUGGAAACCCUGAUCGAAAUGGCGAAACGGGCAGCUUAUUUCAAUGAAAUGGAACUUCAGGUUCCCCUGGAGAGCUA